CUGUACUUGAUAUGUCUCACAAGUAUGCCAUCUGAUAAGGUACAGGGCCGGAAGUCAGUGAUGCAGGGUUAUGGUAUGGGACAUGCAUGUAAUGGUAGAGCAUACUCAAGAACAGGAAAAACAUCAUUAUGUCUUUGACCGUUUCAUGAUUUAUGACCACUUGUAUGGAGACAAAGGCUGUAAAAGGUGUCCUUCAGCCUCACCAGGGCAGGGACUGAGGGUGUGCAUACAACUUACUGUGUAGCCUUCAACACUGGGGGAAAUUGACCGCACAAACAAGUUGUCAGAGAAGUAUCUAUUUACCCUUGAUCUGGUAUGAAGUUACCUAUUGGAACUGUACAGUUUAAAUCUGAUACUGCUUACAUCUGCAGUUUUCCUGUAUUCUAUUGAAUUUAGAGUCUCUACAUUUUUUCUUGCUGUUGAUGUAUAUUACAACAUGAGCUAUACUAAUGGAAUGGUGGUACAUUUGUACAUUAAACAGCAAGAUUGUAAAAAAAAAAUAUGCUAAAAAAUCAAAAUAAAGGCAAUAACAAAAGCAUACUUCCCCUGAAGUUACCAGGGUUUCUCAUGUCUUAAUGAAAGCUAGUAAGUAAUGUCUACAGGUACAAUGCAUGUGCCCUUCCUUUAAACUUGGCUUAGAAAAACCCAAAUAUGGACACAUGACCAAAUAUGGACAUAUGCCCUCAGGUAAACCAAGGAGCUUUCUCCUUGGGUAAAAACCGUGGGCACUUGCUUUGUACAUUUCACUUUUCUGGCUUGACACCAAAUGCCGUAGACAAUGAAAGCAAAGAACUGAACAAUCAACUCAGGAUUGUCUUACUAUGUAUCAGAGGAAACAGGUACUGCACGAUGAGGCGGGUGUUCACGCUGUGACUCCAGGUGUUCCCCAGCGCAGCCGUCACAUAGCCACCAUCCACAGCUGCAGAUGCACCUGACACACAACAGGAAUAAAAAAGCCUUGUCAGGAUGGGAGCCGAUAAGGUGCACAAGGCCCAGUCAGCAUCCUGAGCCAUCACACUCCACAGGUGGAACUGAUUUGUCUACUGCUUCUACUAACCAGCCACGACCAAUCAUGAAAAGCUGGAAAGAGCUGCUGGAGGGAAACUGCUGACUUGCCUGGCAACCCUCAAACCACAAGUCCCUGGAUGACUCCUGGCAGGGUCCUGUUACCAGACCUGGGCAGAAGAACAUCAGAAGGUUGGGCAGGCCUGCUGAUGUGAUUCUGAGUCAUCUUGGUCACAACAUGUGGUUUCUUUCCAAGAGAUAAGAAUUUACCAGAAGAGUUUGUUCUUGUAGGUACCAGUCCUCCUUUUCUAGGCUGUAACCUUUCGGGAUAUGACUCUCUUGUAUAGUAAUGUCGUUGGUUAUAAAGAUUCAUCCUGAUCUAUCUCAAACAUGUACCGGAAUGAAAAUGAAAGGUAAUAAUUAUUGAAAUGUUGUAACUAUUCUGUUUGCUGUAAUUAGCUAACAGAAUUUGACAUGAAUGUAAAGUUUAUAACUGAUUAUACAUGUAACUGCUUCUCUUAAAACCUUAUGAUCAACAUGGCAAGAUAGUGGAUGUCCUCAUCAGAAUUUAAGAUCACUGACAUUUUGCUGAACAAAACAGGUUUCUUGCCUUCAGCUGUUGUUGGUGUUGCUUUCAAAAUAUCCCCAGGUUUUAAAUGCAUCAUCCAGAGUCAACACAACUAAGCUUCCAGAACAAAUCAAAGUGUCAGUUGGGAAAACCUGCAGCCUCCUGGGUAAUACUGGCAGUCCUGUGUGCUGUUAUUUACUCCCCUAGAUGGAGUAAUAUUUUCUGCUGGGACCACAGUCACAGGACAGUUGCAUGCCAAACUAGUCCCUCCUGUUAGCUGGUAUAACAGCCAAUUUUCCUACUUUGUCAGCUGAACAGGAUAGGUUAGAGACACAACAAGGGUUCAUGGCAAAUCAGUGGGGACAAAGCUGCUGUGUUAUCAACUUGUAGACUAGCAAGCCUGAUUACUAUUCAAAACACUCAAAAGAGAAGCACACAACAUGGCAUGCAGCUGGUGUUUGGCACUGGCAGUGAGAAUGAUUAGCUUUUAAUGGAGUUGUGAAGGUGAGCACAUAUAGGGUGGUGAAAGCCUUGAUGUAGCUACCAGGAAAGGUAGUCUUUGCUUUAAAAAGUAAAAUAUUGCAUCAAAACAGCUUUGAGCAUAUCCUAUAGUAUAAAUGUCAUGUUGGCACAACAUCAAUGCUAUAAAGGGCCAGGUAGACAUGUGCCAUGAAGUGGAUUUAUCUACAUAUCAUAAUUCAUUUUGCUUUAUCUUGCAGCAAAAAUAUAGAGUUAGAGAGCUGUCAGGAAUUAAAAGCCAAUUAGCAACAAAAUGAAAGUAAAAAUUGAUGACACCUGCCCACCUCUCUUUAUCCAAACUCCCAACAUCAAAGUCUUUUCAAACCUCAAUGCAUGAUAAAAGGGUUGGGUUGUCCCCUGGAAACUUUCAAGAUAAAAAGUUUCUUCAAGAUAUCGGGACUCCUAUCUUGACUAUAUCAACUUAACAAUGUGAUAUAAGAGUGCAUGGCGGGGAAACUUGCUUAUAUUCCAGGGAAUGUUAUCAGCAAGCUGUCAACAAGUCAGUCCACUGGUUACCUUUGGCAACAUUGCUAAGGCUCCUCUGUGGAUAGGGAUGAAAUAGGGCAUUUAUUUAGGACUGAUCAGCCCCAAAUAAUGGCAGUUCUGGUUAUCUGGUGGGACUGGAGGAUAUCUGAUAACCAACUACAUCAUCAAUUUUGAAUUCUUAUCUCUCCCUAAAUUUUUCCUAAAUUAGUAAUUGAUCUUAAAUGAUUUUAUUGAUGUUUUAGGAU